AUCGCCGGCGCGGUUUGCGUUGUGACACGCAGUGGCAGACACAGUGUAGUGGUGCUUGCCGCGCCUGGUGCGAACUGCUAGAAAUUACGGUGGUGUGCUGUCGGACAGUUUGGCGGGAUCCGUUACGACGAAGCGGAGUGGUGGAGUUGCCAGGAGGCGCAAACAAAGAAAGCAUUCAUGCGAUCUGUGGGUGCAACGAGAAAAACGCGGCUGCUUCGGAUGAAAAAGUAUCUGAGAAGCCUGCAGAAAGUGACCACGCUUCCAGCAACCCAAUCCCUUGUCCUGACGCACUACUUGAACUGAAGGCAAUUGAGGACAUGGUCACAGAUCAGUUUUGCAUGGACCUUGGGCGAAUGAAAAUGCUUUUGGCCGUAACUGCAGAGGCCUGCAGCUCCAAUGCACCAGAUGAUUUGCCGUCAUACUUUUUAAAUCCUGACGUGGCACAAGAACAUGGCAACAGGUCUCCACCAGGCCCAUGCAUUUUGAAAGAGAAUGGCAACUUCAGAAUUGUCUACAAGGAAAACAUUGUGGUGUUACCACCUGCAUCAUCACCUGAGAAGGUCGUCAUCCACCUGUUGACUGUAUAUUUUAUUUUAAACCUGUCAUACCCAUACGCUUUUGGACAGUUUUUGGGACGUGUGCAGGCAGUUGUGAAGGGUGAGCCAUUUGGGCAGAGGCGUGAUGCCGUUUAAGGUAAAGUCUCUGUUGAAAAACCUGAAGCUGUCAGGCCUAAUAUUGACGUGCUAAAUGUUUGGUAGGUAGAAGCAGCAUGUCAGCUGCAACAUUGUGAAGUCGUGCCUUCUUUUACAAUUUUUUAUCACCAAGGCAAAGCGCUGGCUGUAAGUUUCAAGGUUGGCUGUUUUUUUUUCUUUAAGGUAUCUUACUUGUAUUUUCAAGGCUGAGUUGUUUGGUUAUAUAAAGAUUUCUCACUUGUUUUCCAAAGUCUCUUACCUGUAUAUUUCGCUGUUACCUUGUUGACUUUUUAAAGUGUGCAACAUGCUUCCAGAUAUAUUUGGGGCAUAAAAUUUUAUAAACAUUUACACUAGCUUUCAUGCUAGUGUUUGGGUUGAGUUAUACCAAACUACACAAUGCUGGGGCAAGUAACCUGCCUGGAGUGGGAGGCUUCUUCAGGGGCUUAUAAAGUUUUUUGGUCACGAUUAGCUUUGUAUUAUACGUGUAUCUGUGAUCUGCCAA